AGGCUGGGGUCACGUUUGCUGCUAGUUUUUAGUAUAAAAUGAAAGAAGGGCGACGCUGAAGUUGGAAUGUCAUCGUUUCUUCUAAGUCACCUUCACAAUGAGAGCUGUGUUGUCUGUCGUAUUCCUCCUAGUCAGCUGUUCAGUGUUAAUAUCUGAAGCUCGCAUGCCGCCUUUGGACGAAUGUCCCCCAAAUACUAGACGGGUGGGUACUUGUUACCCCCCAUACUAUAAGUGCAAUCUCGGGGUCUGUAUUCCCAUAGUGCCGAAUGGCUACGGAGUGUGCUGCAAAGGACGUGGAUUCUACUGAGGCCUUCUUGAUAAAUGUUAACUGGGGACUUUGUCCUGAAUAAAUGACUUGAAAAAUAAAUAAUAAAUCUUCACUUUAAUUUCUUAAGCUGUUAAACUUUUCAACAUGCUGUUUAUUUCUUAAUUGAUUUACAUUAAAACUGAGAUUCCGUUUCAGUGAGUAGAAGAAAAGCUCUACACUCUGUUUUUCUUUGUAAAUCAUACAUCAUACAUCUGCAUGUACAAGAACAGGGACGCGUUGAUUUCUUUCAAGUUAUUGACUACUUUAUUGUCUAAUCAUUUUAUCAGGUUUUUGUAUUUACUCGUACAUGUAUGUUAACCUCACGUUUUUACUUCCCAUU